rnacentral:rRNA from 1 species
GGCGGCAUGCUUAACACAUGCAAGUCGCACGGCUGGGGUAACUCAGCAGUGGCGGACGGGUGAGUAACGCGUAGGUAUCUGUCUCUGGGUGGGGGAUAACCAUGGGAAACUAUGGCUGAUACCGCAUGAAACCCGAGGGUCAAAGGCGCGAGUCGCCUGGAGAGGAGCCUGCGUACGAUUAGCUUGUUGGCGGGGUAAAGGCCCACCAAGGCGACGAUCGUUAGCUGGUCUGAGAGGAUGAUCAGCCACACUGGGACUGAGACACGGCCCANACUCCUACGGGAGGCAGCAGUGGGGAAUAUUGGACAAUGGGCGCAAGCCUGAUCCAGCAAUGCCGCGUGAGUGAAGAAGGUCUUCGGAUUGUAAAGCUCUUUCGACGGGGACGAUGAUGACGGUACCCGUAGAAGAAGCCCCGGCUAACUUCGUGCCAGCAGCCGCGGUAAUACGAAGGGGGCUAGCGUUGCUCGGAAUGACUGGGCGUAAAGGGCGCGUAGGCGGUUCGUACAGUCAGACGUGAAAUUCCCGGGCUCAACCUGGGGACUGCGUUUGAUAC